UAUUCACCUUAUUUUUCACGACAACAAGGGCGGCGCCAUUUCGCUCAUUUUGUCAACGUUCUUCCGGCCGCAUAGACGAUGAGCAGCUGAGGCAGUGACUGAAGGCGACGUGUUAAGCUUAAAAAGCUCACUCGAGCGCCUUUAUGUUUCUUUCUUACCAAUUUUAAGCCAACUGAGGAACACCCUUAUCCCAAAUAAUGGUUCGACUACGAUGUUCCGGUAACUUUAAACCACGCCUGGUGUUGAAAAGGUGGCCAGUUUCAGAUGCAUUGAUGUUUAGUGAUGCAGUGGACAACUGUGAGGAUGAUACAAUCAACAUGUUCCUAAACUGUGAUGCAGAAACACAAUGGGAGCAUCUAUCCGUCUCUGACCACAACUACACUUUAAAAUCACAACUCAACCUGAAGCAUACAUCUGAUAUGGGAAAACAAUGGUGCGGUUUCCCGGACAGGGCUUAUCCUGGUCCCAGGCUAAAAUGCAUAUUUGAGCUACAAUAAUUUAAAAACACCUUUUACUGACAUACCUCAACAUAUAUUAGUGCCAUUGUUUUGUCACAAGAUGCGCACCAUUUUUGUUUUUUUGUAGGAUUUGUUUGUAAAAACUAAAAUGUCCUAAUAUAAUUAAGGCCUAGUCCUGUAAACCCUGUCCGAGAAACUGCUUCAAUGCUUCUGCUUCAUGUGUUGAGCUGGCACAAAUGUACAUAUCUCUGCUGAGAAACAACCAUCUUUGGUUCAGCUUUACACAGGGUUGAUAUUGCAUCCAUUACACAGUCGCCAAGCACUUUACCAGUACAUACACCAACAGCUUCCAGAUAUACGCUUGGGAUCAGCUCUUGAUGACUCCGAUAAAGCUGUGUCUUAAUUUAUUGCAGGGUGGUCUUGCUUUACCGGUUGUAAAGUUACAUUAAACCUUCAUAUGUGAUCAGAUGUCAUGCAGUGAUAUUAAACAUUUACAGUGUGAUCAGAUGUUGUGCAUUUAUAUUAAACAUUUACAAUGUGA